UUCCUACUCCCUCCGUUCCGAAAUACAUGACUUUCAUUUGUCAAAAUAUAGAUGUAUCUAGACAUAUUUUAGUAUAUAGGUACAUCCAUUUUUGAACAAAUGGAAGUCAAGUAUUUUGGAAUGGAGGGAGUAUUUA
rfam:Triticum aestivum genome assembly, contig: Triticum_aestivum_CS42_TGACv1_scaffold_158979_2DL